AGGACGAACGCUGGCGGCGUGCUUAACACAUGCAAGUCGAGCGGUAAGGCCUUUCGGGGUACACGAGCGGCGAACGGGUGAGUAACACGUGGGUGAUCUGCCCUGCACUCUGGGAUAAGCCUGGGAAACUGGGUCUAAUACCGGAUAUGACCUGCUCUCGCAGUGGGGGGUGGGUGGAAAGAUUUAUCGGUGCAGGAU
rnacentral:rRNA from 1 species